rnacentral:rRNA from 1 species
UCAGGAUGAACGCUGGCGGCGUGCUUAAUACAUGCAAGUCGAACGGAGAUUGUAGCAAUACGGUCUUAGUGGCGAACGGGUGAGUAACGCGUUAGUGACCUGCCCGAAGAGGGGGAUAACAGUCCGAAAGGAUUGCUAAUACCCCAUACCUUUACUGGGUUUAGAAACCGGUAAAGAAAGGAGAAAUUCGCUUUGGGAGGGGCUUGCGUCCCAUCAGCUAGUUGGCAGGGUAAUGGCCUACCAAGGCUAUGACGGGUAGGGGACCUGAGAGGGUGGACCCCCACAAUGGAACUGAAAUACGGUCCAUACACCUACGGGUGGCAGCAGUAGGGAAUAUUGGUUAAUCGACGAAAGUCGGAACCAGCAACGCCGCGUGUGCGAUGAAGGCCUUCGGGUCGUAAAGCACUUUUUGGAGGGACGAGGAAGGACGGUACCUUCAGAAUAAGCCUCGGCUAACUACGUG